AAAAAAAUUUACCGUUCCUUCAAAGAGGCAUUGCCUCUGUCGCUGGGGGUGCUCACCUCCUUGAAGCAAGGCCAGGCGAUACCAGACGAGGUGCUAAAGUGUCGCCUCGCAUCACUUGGCGCCUCGCUGGGCUUUAAGAACAUUUUUGUUCUAUGCUUCAACUUCCAACAAGUAGAUGAACAUAAAAAGUUAGCAAACAUAAGCUCCUCAAGAAUAUGCAUGGUAUAUUUAGAAAGCAUUUAUAGUACUAGCAACAAAGGCAACAUAUAGAAGAAUUUAUGUCACAGUUGAGUUCAAUGAGA
rnacentral:misc_RNA from 1 species